rnacentral:rRNA from 1 species
UACGAAGGGAGCUAGCGUUGUUCGGAAUCACUGGGCGUAAAGCGCACGUAGGCGGAUGUGUCAGUCAGGGUGAAUCCGGAACGCUCAACUUCGGAACUGCCCUUGAUACAGCACGUCUUGAGUCCGGAAGAGGUGGGUGGAAUUCCUAGUGUAGAGGUGAAAUUCGUAGAUAUUAGGAAGAACACGGUGGCGAAGGCGGCCCACUGGUCCGGUACUGACGCUGAGGUGCGAAAGCGUGGGGAGCAAACAGG